rnacentral:rRNA from 1 species
CACUAUCGUUAACUGAAUACAUAGGUUAACGAGGCGAACCGGGGGAACUGAAACAUCUAAGUACCCCGAGGAAAAGAAAUCAACCGAGAUUCCCCCAGUAGCGGCGAGCGAACGGGGAGCAGCCCAGAGUCUGAAUCAGCUUGUGUGUUAGUGGAACGGUCUGGAAAGUCCGACGGUACAGGGUGAUAGUCCCGUACACCAAAAUGCACAGGUUGUGAACUCGAAGAGUAGGGCGGGACACGUGGUAUCCUGUCUGAAUAUGGGGGGACCAUCCUCCAAGGCUAAAUACUCCUGACUGACCGAUAGUGAACCAGUACCGUGAGGGAAAGGCGAAAAGAACCCCGGCGAGGGGAGUGAAAAAGAACCUGAAACCGUGUACGUACAAGCAGUGGGAGCACCUUCGGGUGUGACUGCGUACCUUUUGUAUAAUGGGUCAGCGACUUAUAUUCUGUAGCAAGGUUAACCGUAUAGGGGAGCCGCAGGGAAACCGAGUCUUAACUGGGCGUUAAGUUGCAGGGUAUAGACCCGAAACCCGGUGAUCUAGCCAUGGGCAGGUUGAAGGUUGGGUAACACUAACUGGAGGACCGAACCGACUAAUGUUGAAAAAUUAGCGGAUGACUUGUGGCUGGGGGUGAAAGGCCAAUCAAACCGGGAGAUAGCUGGUUCUCCCCGAAAGCUAUUUAGGUAGCGCCUCGUGAACUCAUCUUCGGGGGUAGAGCACUGUUUCGGCUAGGGGGUCAUCCCGACUUACCAACCCGAUGCAAACUACGAAUACCGAAGAAUGUUAUCACGGGAGACACACGGCGGGUGCUAACGUCCGUCGUGAAGAGGGAAACAACCCAGACCGCCAGCUAAGGUCCCAAAGUCAUGGUUAAGUGGGAAACGAUGUGGGAAGGCACAGACAGCCAGGAUGUUGGCUUAGAAGCAGCCAUCAUUUAAAGAAAGCGUAAUAGCUCACUGGUCGAGUCGGCCUGCGCGGAAGAUGUAACGGGGCUAAACCAUGCACCGAAGCUGCGGCAGCGACACUAUGUGUUGUUGGGUAGGGGAGCGUUCUGUAAGCCUGCGAAGGUGUGCUGUGAGGCAUGCUGGAGGUAUCAGAAGUGCGAAUGCUGACAUAAGUAACGAUAAAGCGGGUGAAAAGCCCGCUCGCCGGAAGACCAAGGGUUCCUGUCCAACGUUAAUCGGGGCAGGGUGAGUCGACCCCUAAGGCGAGGCCGAAAGGCGUAGUCGAUGGGAAACAGGUUAAUAUUCCUGUACUUGGUGUUACUGCGAAGGGGGGACGGAGAAGGCUAUGUUAGCCGGGCGACGGUUGUCCCGGUUUAAGCAUGUAGGCUGAUUAUCCAGGCAAAUCCGGAUAAUCAAGGCUGAGGUGUGAUGACGAGGCACUACGGUGCUGAAGUAACAAAUGCCCUGCUUCCAGGAAAAGCCUCUAAGCAUCAGGUAACAUUAAAUCGUACCCCAAACCGACACAGGUGGUCAGGUAGAGAAUACCAAGGCGCUUGAGAGAACUCGGGUGAAGGAACUAGGCAAAAUGGUGCCGUAACUUCGGGAGAAGGCACGCUGGUGUGUAGGUGAAGUCCCUGCGGAUGGAGCUGAGACCAGUCGAAGAUACCAGCUGGCUGCAACUGUUUAUUAAAAACACAGCACUGUGCAAACACGAAAGUGGACGUAUACGGUGUGACGCCUGCCCGGUGCCGGAAGGUUAAUUGAUGGGGUUAUCCGUAAGGAGAAGCUCUUGAUCGAAGCCCCGGUAAACGGCGGCCGUAACUAUAACGGUCCUAAGGUAGCGAAAUUCCUUGUCGGGUAAGUUCCGACCUGCACGAAUGGCGUAAUGAUGGCCAGGCUGUCUCCACCCGAGACUCAGUGAAAUUGAACUCGCUGUGAAGAUGCAGUGUACCCGCGGCAAGACGGAAAGACCCCGUGAACCUUUACUAUAGCUUGACACUGAACAUUGAGCCUUGAUGUGUAGGAUAGGUGGGAGGCUUUGAAGCGUGGACGCCAGUCUGCGUGGAGCCAACCUUGAAAUACCACCCUUUAAUGUUUGAUGUUCUAACGUUGGCCCCUGACCGGGGUUGCGGACAGUGUCUGGUGGGUAGUUUGACUGGGGCGGUCUCCUCCCAAAGCGUAACGGAGGAGCACGAAGGUUAGCUAAUCCUGGUCGGACAUCAGGAGGUUAGUGCAAUGGCAUAAGCUAGCUUGACUGCGAGCGUGACGGCGCGAGCAGGUGCGAAAGCAGGUCAUAGUGAUCCGGUGGUUCUGAAUGGAAGGGCCAUCGCUCAACGGAUAAAAGGUACUCCGGGGAUAACAGGCUGAUACCGCCCAAGAGUUCAUAUCGACGGCGGUGUUUGGCACCUCGAUGUCGGCUCAUCACAUCCUGGGGCUGAAGUAGGUCCCAAGGGUAUGGCUGUUCGCCAUUUAAAGUGGUACGCGAGCUGGGUUUAGAACGUCGUGAGACAGUUCGGUCCCUAUCUGCCGUGGGCGCUGGAGAAUUGAGGGGGGCUGCUCCUAGUACGAGAGGACCGGAGUGGACGCAUCACUGGUGUUCGGGUUGUCAUGCCAAUGGCACUGCCCGGUAGCUAAAUGCGGAAGAGAUAAGUGCUGAAAGCAUCUAAGCACGAAACUUGCCCCGAGAUGAGUUCUCCCUGAGACUUUAAGUCUCCUGAAGGAACGUUGAAGACGACGACGUUGAUAGGCCGGGUGUGUAAGCGCAGCGAUGCGUUGAGCUAACCGGUACUAAUGAACCGUGAGGCUUAACCUU